AUACUUACCUGGCAAGGGAGACACCGUGAUCACCAAGGCGGAUCACCCAGGGCGAGGCUCGGCCAUUGCACUGUGGCUGUGCUGACCCCUGCGAAUUUCCCAAAUGUGGAAAUCUCGAUUGCAUAAUUUCUGGUAGUGGGGGACUGCGUUUGCGCUCUCUCCUG
ensembl:snRNA U1 U1 spliceosomal RNA